UUAUGAAAAUAAGCAUAUAAAAUAUUAUUCAUCUUCGUUAUCAAUGAACACUUUUCGUUUGCGAAGAAGAGAAAUCGUCGACUUGCUAAGAUCCACAUCAGAAACAUCUUUAUCUUCUUCAAGCGAGUCUUCUAAGUCUUGAGAAAUUUCUUGAAUAAAUUGAUUUUUUUCGUUUUGCUCAAUAUUGUCAAUACUCGCAAUUGAAAUUCCUGUGUAGUUGUAGUUCACAAGAUCAUCUUUCUUGAUCUCUGCUACUUUCAAAGUUAAUAAGUAUCGUCUUCCCAAACAAUUCUCUAACUUUUGAAGAAAUUGAUGAAUGUUGUGAUCCUA
rnacentral:lncRNA from 1 species